GAAGACGAAGACGGAUCAAAUUGAAUAAUCGAAGAGAGAUGGGAC
rnacentral:sRNA from 1 species